rnacentral:lncRNA from 1 species
UUUAAACGAAUUAAAGGCAUAGUCCUGGCAUCAGUCCCCAAUUAGUAGAUGUUCAUGCUUAAUACAAAGCCAAUAAUACUAAUAGAAAAUAAAUGACAAUCACCGCAUGAACUGGGAAACAAAAUGUAUUAACUUCAUGAUCAGCUACAAGCUUGAAUAUACAUGGCUGUAGUUUCAGUAUCUGAGUAAGGAAUGGCACCUGGAAUGCCAAAGGAAAGAAAGCCUAUGAGUAAUGCAGCAAGUAGCAUGCAAGCAAAGCCAAUCAGCCAAUAAUCACCCAGAGAUUCCGGAAGGUUUUUAAGAAAAGGCAAGUAAUACUAGUUGAUCCUUAAAACAGCUUAAUAUGCUCAAACUUGCUAUCAAGGAAGAUUCAGUCGAAAUAGAACAACACCAAGGGAUUUCUUAAGAAGGUUGGAGAGACUAAUAUAUAUUUAUAUAUAUCUUAGUUCACUAAAAACUUCAAAAAGAAAAAUCUACCCGAAAAUAUCUAAGUUCCAGCCCUUUCAAAUGUUCAGAUUGCCCCCUUUUAUAAUUGAAGCCUUAUGGCAACACCAAUUCCUUUGUUUUCGCUUUAGUCCCUUAACCAAUUUUCAGUUUUACCCAAAUAGUCCUUAGUUUUCUCACUUGUGCCUCAAGUUUGAGGCAGAAAUUAUGCCUAAACCUCUCACUAGAAUGUUCUAGGAGUGGUUACAAGAUUCCUUGUAUUCAAAUAUCCUUUGUACCCCUGUCCCUUUUCCUAAUUAGUUACCUAAGUUUUUAACCUUAGUUUUCAAUUAUUUGGUCAAAUCUAACCCUAGUUAAUUGUAUUCAGGUUAUGGGUCAGAAUCUGAAUCUAAACUACAGGAUCAAUUAUGUAGAAGUGGCCACUCAAAGAGUUUAAGGAUUAAACAAUGCACCUCAUGGAUUCAAGCAAACAAUUAUCACAACUUCAGGAUUAUAUGAAUAUGUCAAAAUGGACCAAAACAAUCAGAAAAGGAAACCAAUCAACUAAUGUAGGACAUAUAAAAAUGACCAAGUUACAACACUCAGUAAAACAUAGAAGCAAGAAGGGAGAUUAAACACUCAGGUUAUACGAGAACAAGACUAAUAUUAGAAGCUAAAAUAUUCACCCAAAACUUAACCUGACAAACGUAGACUAAACAAGAGCCAUGAUAGGUAUAAGAUCUUAAAAGGAGACCCACCCAAAGUUUCAAAUAAGAACACCAAGGUAAGUGUUUGACCAACCAUUCAGAGUUUUCAGGGUUGAACAAACACAAGUCAGGAGAUAAGGAUGAGCAUGAGACCACCAAAUCAGUAACACUAAAUGUAACCAGAAGGAUAACAAGCAGGAAUGACCACUUUAAGAUGAAAAAUACAGAAAACAAAUAAAAUUCAAAGAAAGACAAAGUAAUUGAGGCAGGAA